UACGUAGGGGGCUAGCGUUGUCCGGAAUCAUUGGGCGUAAAGCGCGUGUAGGCGGCCCGGUAAGUCCGCUGUGAAAGUCGGGGGCUCAACCCUCGAAGCCGGUGGAUACUGUCGGGCUCGAGUACGGAAGAGGCGAGUGGAAUUCCUGGUGUAGCGGUGAAAUGCGCAGAUAUCAGGAGGAACACCAAUUGCGAAGGCAGCUCGCUGGGACGGUACUGACGCUGAGACGCGAAAGCGUGGGGAGCGAACAGG
rnacentral:rRNA from 1 species